AUUGAACGCUGGCGGCAGGCCUAACACAUGCAAGUCGAGCGAGCGGCGGACGGGUGAGUAAUGUCUGGGAAACUGCCUGAUGGAGGGGGAUAACUACUGGAAACGGUAGCUAAUACCGCAUACCAUCAGAUGUGCCGAGAUGGGAGGAGCUAGUAGGUGGGGUAACGGCUCACCUAGGCGACGAUCCCUAGCUGGUCUGAGAGGAUGACCAGCCACACUGGAACGUAGAGACGGUCCAGACUCCUACGGGCGGCAGCAGGGGGGAAUGUUGCCCAAUGGGCGCAAGCCUGAUGCAGCCAAGCCGCGUGUGUGAAUAAGGCCUUCGGGUUGUAAAGCACUGUCAGCGGGGAGGCGUUACCCGCAGAAGAAGCACCGGCUAACUCCGUGCCAGCAGCCGCGGUAAUUC
rnacentral:rRNA from 1 species